rnacentral:rRNA from 1 species
UACGUAGGUGGCAAGCGUUGUCCGGAAUUAUUGGGCGUAAAGCGCGCGCAGGUGGUUUCUUAAGUCUGAUGUGAAAGCCCACGGCUCAACCGUGGAGGGUCAUUGGAAACUGGGGAACUUGAGUGCAGGAGAGAAGAGUGGAAUUCCACGUGUAGCGGUGAAAUGCGUAGAGAUGUGGAGGAACACCAGUGGCGAAGGCGACUCUUUGGCCUGUAACUGACACUGAGGCGCGAAAGCGUGGGGAGCAAAC